rnacentral:rRNA from 1 species
UACGAAGGGGGCUAGCGUUGCUCGGAAUCACUGGGCGUAAAGCGCACGUAGGCGGAUUGUUAAGUCAGGGGUGAAAUCCUGGAGCUCAACUCCAGAACUGCCUUUGAUACUGGCGACCUUGAGUCCGGGAGAGGUGAGUGGAACUGCGAGUGUAGAGGUGAAAUUCGUAGAUAUACGCAAGAACACCAGUGGCGAAGGCGGCUCACUGGCCCGGUAUUGACGCUGAGGUGCGAAAGCGUGGGGAGCAAACAGG